rnacentral:rRNA from 1 species
GACGAACGCUGGCGGCGUGCCUAAUACAUGCAAGUCGAACGCAGUGGGGACGGGUGAGUAACACGUUGGUAACCUCCCAUCAGAGGGGACAACACUUGGAAACAGGUGCUAAACCGAUACUGAUGGAUGGACCCGCGGUGCAUUAGCUAGUUGGGGAGGUAACGGCUCACCGAGGCCCCGAUGCAUAGCCGACCUGGUCGGUUGAUCGGCCACACUGGUACUGCGACACGGCCCAGACUCCUACGGGAGGCAGCAGUAGGGAAUCUUCGGCAAUGGACGAAAGUCUGACCGAGCAACGCCGCGUGCGUGAAGAAGGUUUUCGGAUCGUAAAACUCUGUUGUUAGAGAAGCGGUAUCUAACGAGAAAGCCACGGCUAACUACGUGCCAGCAGGCGCGGUAAUAG